AUGUAUGCGAGUACAGAAGCAUUUUUUUUGUUCUGGGAUCAUAACUUUUGGUGCGACCGACCAGAAAUUCUGCUUCAACAAGCCAUUGUUUUGCUGGAACCAUUAAGCAAUUUUGCUGGAAUCAGCGAUUUCCAUAAAAGCAAGUACAGAAGCAUUUGUAUUUUUAUUGCUGGGAUUGCAAUUUUUGGUGCGUCCAGCGAGAAAUUUUGCUUUAAUCAGCCAUCUUUUUUGUUGGAAUCAUCAAGGUUUUUUGGCUACCACCUUGUUUUGUUUUUUGCUAGAAUCAGGCUAAAAUUUGCUACCAUGGUCUUCUGA
rnacentral:rRNA from 1 species